GUGAGGAAUUUUCCGCAAUGGGCGAAAGCCUGACGGAGCAAUGCCGCGUGAAGGAUGAAGGCCUAUGGGUUGUAAACUUCUUUUCUCAGAAAAGAAUUAUGACGGUAUCUGAGGAAUAAGCAUCGGCUAACUCUGUGCCAUCAGCCGCGGUAAGACAGAGGAUGCAAGCGUUAUCCGGAAUGAUUGGGCGUAAAGCGUCUGUAGGUUGUUUAAAAAGUAUUCUGUCAAAGAUUAGGGCUUAACCCUAGAUAGGCAGAAUAAACUUUUAAGCUAGAGUUUGGUAGAGGCAGAGGGAAUUCCCGGUGGAGCGGUGAAAUGCGUAGAUAUCGGGAGGAACACCAAAGGCGAAGGCACUCUGCUGGGCCAAUACUAACACUGAGAGACGAAAGCGAGGGGAGCAAAUGGGAUUAGAAACCCGUGUAGUCC
rnacentral:rRNA from 1 species